CACGUAGUGGCCAAGCGUUGUCCGGAUUCAUUGGGCGUAAAGAGCUCGUAGGCGGUUCAGUUAGUCGGGUGUGAAAUCUCCGGGCUCAACCCGGAGGGGCCACCCGAUACUGCUGUGACUCGAGUCCGAUAGGGGAGUGGGGAAUUCCUGGUGUAGCGGUGAAAUGCGCAGAUAUCAGGAGGAACACCGGUGGCGAAGGCGCCACUCUGGGCCGGUACUGACGCUGAGGAGCGAAAGCGUGGGUAGCAAACAGG
rnacentral:rRNA from 1 species